rnacentral:rRNA from 1 species
GACGAACGCUGGCGGCGUGCUUAACACAUGCAAGUCGAACGGAAAGGCCCUGCUUUUGUGGGGUGCUCGAGUGGCGAACGGGUGAGUAACACGUGAGUAACCUGCCCUUGACUUUGGGAUAACUUCAGGAAACUGGGGCUAAUACCGGAUAGGAGCUCCUGCUGCAUGGUGGGGGUUGGAAAGUUUCGGCGGUUGGGGAUGAACUCGCGGCUUAUCAGCUUGUUGGUGGGGUAGUGGCUUACCAAGGCUUUGACGGGUAGCCGGCCUGAGAGGGUGACCGGCUACAUUGGGACUGAGAUACGGCCCAGACUCCUACGGGAGGCAGCAGUGGGGAAUAUUGCACAAUGGGCGGAAGCCUGAUGCAGCAACGCCGCGUGCGGGAUGACGGCCUUCGGGUUGUAAACCGCUUUCGCCUGUGACGAAGCGUGAGUGACGGUAAUGGGUAAAGAAGCACCGGCUAACUACGUG